GAGGGGAGCAGCGGAGACAGAGUCUCACGCACAGGUAUGCCCAGACACCCUGAACCCAGUUACUUAACCUCGUCAACCACUGUGGCAUCCGCGGGGUCCGUGGGCCCAUGGGUCUUCCGGGAGGGAUUCUGUGUCCCUGUUAUUGUGUGUCAAUAGGUGUUAGCCUGAUAUUUAUAUUUUUAAUGAGAGAAAACAAACUCCAGAAUUUGGGAACUGUUUUUCCGGUUUUGCUUUAUACCUCUUGGACACUCCUUCGAAGGACUGGAUCUGAGGGGCAUUGGGGUGCGACUACGGUGGACAAGGGAUGAUUAAUUUUCAUCCAAAAAUCUUUGGUGGAUUCCCCCGGCUCUCCAGCUCACCAGUCUAACAGUAGUUUAAAACAGAAGAUCAGCAACGUUUGGAGAGUUUUUUUUUCUUUGCGUUUUAAUGAUAAACUUGAUUUAUUCAAUUCUAUUCUGAGGUUGUCUUUCUAUAUUUUGAGUAUAAAACGAUGGCCAUACUAUGUUGGAACCACUAAGGUUCUUCUCUUCACUUGUUAUUCGUAAAGUCUCUUUGUAAUCUGAGAAUUUCCUGAGUAAACUGGGAACUGUUAUACAUAAUUCCUUGUUUUUGAGCAUUCUUUGUAAACAGGAAUCAGGAUUGGGGGUGGGGAGGGAGGGAGGAGUAGGAGUGCUGAUUUGUGUAACGGAAAAUCAUGGAUUACUUAUGUGAUGGAGCAAAGGUUUAAAAACUCUUAGCGUCCCCGGAUUUCCCCUUUUACUGUUUGCUGAAGAAAAUUCUGUCUUUGACUCCCUUCCUUACCCUCUCCUGGCCUGUGAGCUGCUUCCUCCCUAUUCAGUUUAUUUCCUCCUCCCCUCCCCGCCCCACUCCCCCACCCCCGCAGCCCCCUCCUCUUUUUCAGUGAAGCUGCUGGAGGAAAGUCGGGUUUGGGAGAAGACCCACACAGGCAAGGACAGCAGAACACUGACAUAUAGUUACACUCUUGUCGCCAGCACUGUCAUUAAGAUGUUGUGAAAAGACAAAGACAAAAGAGGAGAGGAAAGAAUAAUAUCUCCGUUUCAGGAGAUAUUCCACAAUAUUCCAGGAUGUUGUGCCUACUGUCCAGAGUCCUUGAUCCGAUGUAGUAAAGAGCUAGGGACAUUUUCACUGAAGGCUUUGAUUGCUGGCAAAAUCUCAUUAAAAGUGUAUACAUUGAUAGGUUGGCCACAGAAUGGCCAAAGAAGAGCCUCUGGCCUACAUCUGCCAAGAUAUAUGUGUAAGAAUACACUCUGCAGCAUUAUUUUUUAUUGUAAAAUAGCAGAACGAAUUUAUUAUUCAAUAAUUAUAAAAUGUUCAAAUGUAUGUGACUAUAUUCGGACAAUGAAAAAUGCAGCUGUUAAAAAUAGACAAUACUGAUGAUUCAGAUGAUGUUACUGAUGAAAAUAAUAACAGAUGACAAUUAUUGAGCAUUUAUGCAAUCUUACAUGCAUUACCUUAUUUAAAGUUCAGAACAACUAAGGAAAUGAGUAACUUGGGGCGGGCGUGAGAGGUUUGGAGGCACAAAAGGAAGAUAGGCAUUCAAGGGACACCAGGAUAGAAGAGCCACAGUAGAAGAGAGAGGAAGAGGAGUCCGCCAGGUGGGAUGCUGCAAGCCGCUGGAUAGCACGGCGGAGAUAGGGCGUUCCUGCCCCGCAAGCCUCCCUGCGACCGCAGGCCUCCGGCCGCCUUCUUCCAGGAAGACGCGCCCUGCUUUCUUCUGAUGUUGGUAGAGACGCUGCAAAGCGCAUCGUCCUCGAGCAUUUCUUCUCUCCCCAAGACCCUCCGAAGGAGCAUUUCUUCUCUCCCCAAGACCCUCCGAAGGAAGGAUGGGCGGACAGACUAAGUGGUCAAACGCGCAGAGCUCCAGCUUCCGCAGGAGCAUUUCCCGAGUGUCUUUCAUGGGUAAGAGUGGGCCCUGCAGGAUAAUGCCUCCCGUUCCCUGAGGAGCAGUGCGGGAGAUGCCCAUGUGGCCAGCUCCUGGGCCACGCGACCCAGGCCCUCCAGGAGGAGCGAGGAGUCCUGGGCCCUGAGCCAGCCCCCUGGACCGGCUGUGCCAAGAGAAGCAGCAAGGGAAGGGGUCCCCUCCUGCCUCAGGGUCUCUGUCCUCCUGGGGUUAAGAGACGUGCAUCCAACUCCCUCUCCAAGUGCUGGAGAGGAGGCUAGGUCUUUCCCACGGGCUGGGGGCCUUGCUGUCCCAAGGACGGCUGGGGAGGAGGAGGAGGCCGGUUGAGAUAUGUGAAGCAGCUCUGGCUACAGCGGGUAGGGAGAGGGCGCGCGGGACCCAGGAGCCUCCGUGCGGAGCCAGGCCUCAGGAGCAGCCGCCUUGUUCCUGGAAGGGGUGCCUCCCUCCAUCUUGUCUCCAAAGACUGUAGGGAGACCUUCUCGCCCGGUAGGAAAGCGACGUCUCCCAUGCUUUCCCACCACGCAGGCCUUGUGGCCUUUCUCCUGCUAGUGUCUGCCCUCCAACCUGCGGGGGCUGCGGCUGCCACGGUUCCACGCUGGGUGGACGCUGCCUGCCCGGGAUCCAAGAGCCGCCGUUGCAGGCGGGAGUUGGGGAGUCGUGUGCAGGUCCGAAGGAGACCCAAGCUCUUGGUCAAGGCUUUUUUGCUAUAGCCAAAUUCAGCGUGUAAAAGACAGAGAGCUCACAUCUGUCUGUUCGUAAGCUUCGGUGAGAACACCAAGGAAGCGCACUCAAGAUUCGUAGGAGGGCGGGAAGGGUCCCUGGCGGCGAUAUCCACAUCGGCGGUGAGCCAAGGCAUGUCAGGAGAGUGAGUGCGCGAACCCAGCCGCCGGAUAGCGCAAACACCACCGCGGACGAGGGCCCCGCAUGUGGAGAAAUCGCAGGGGUCAGCGGAGCCGAAGUGUGGUGGACUAGCCUCCUCCAGGGAGAACCCCCUUCCUGACCACUGUAUGUCCCCCGCCACAUAAGGGGAGAGGAGGGACAGCACAGCCUACUCUCCCCUGGCCGACGAUCAGGGUCACCACCUUCUCCUCUGCUCUCCCCUCGCCAUUCUUCCAAACCACCCUCCGCCAAAGAUUCCACGGACAGUCACCCUCCCAACAACCCAGGCCUCCUUUCAGCAGCGGCUCCCGCCCCACAGCCACCGCGCCCUCUCACCCCCGCGGUUCUGCCCGCCGCCUCUGCCGAGUCUGUGCACUUCACCUCCCUGGGUCCCGCUCCCCCCUGAGCUUACAGUGGACGAGGGGCAGGACGGGGGGAAGGCCAUUCGGCUGCCCUUCUAGCUUCAGAAUCACCCAGUGAACGGGUUUCAACCGUAGCCGGCAAGAUGCGCCUCUCCGGUUUUCCGAGGCUUUGGAACCUGCACAAUUGUUCUGCAAAAGACGGUGGCUCCGCCUAGCAUUGGAUGGGCGCUUGCUCUGCAUGGUGAUGCCGGAGCGAGGGUCGACUGUCCGUAUGUCGCAGUCGGGUGGUGUGCUUGCUUCCAAGUCUGGAGUUGGCUGGUUCAAGCUCGUUCUACUGAGCGUUUCUUGCAUUUUAAAAAUGCUUAAACCGCUGGCAACUUUCUUCUACCCAGCACAUUCUCUCAUGGAAUGGCAGAGCAAGACCAACUUUACCCGCCUCUCCUCCGUGUCUCCCAUACGACAUGAGGACGUAAAUCAAGAUCUGGAUUUUCAUCUGGUAUUGGAUUCCUUCUGCCCGGAAGACUCCUUUGACGUUUCUGUAGUGUGGGUCAGCUGGUAGUGAAUUCGGUCAGCUUAUGAACUCAAAAGAGGUGUAGGAGGAGAGAAGCUCAAUUAUCACCCUGGUCUCCUGGAGUAUCCCAGGCACAGUCCCAAGAGUUCAGCUUUUCAUACUCGAGUUCCUGGGUCCUGAAGGCCUUUUUGGGGAAAGUACUGAUGUUCGUGUCAAGGUUGGGAAGAAAGGGUUUGGGAGGAACCAAGCAACAGGGAGGCAAAGAGAAGACAUCAACAAGCGAGGCAAGAACUUUCCACAGGCUCACACUGGAUACAGGACCAGAGACAAGAAGCUGGCAGUGUGGUGGGGAGGCCAUGGCAAUCAUUAGCUCUGGAGGCCUGAGGAGGACACUCUGAAGAGGAAAGCCCCGCGAUCAUCCGGUUUCACCCCUGUUUUCAUCUACUCUUUUCCUCAGCGAAGCCUAUAUGGGUUCCCGAUGUCACAUCGCAGCUACCGCAUUGGAGGGUUAAGAGCCGCUGACAAAUCUCUUUCGGGAAGGGGUAAGAAGCGCAGCUGGCCCAGAGCCAUGGAGAGAGACGCAAGAGCAGAACCGAAAAUACUUUUCUCCAUCUUGUUUUCUCUCUGCUGUCGGUGAACAUUAACCUUCCACACACACCGGGUCAAUACUGCCUUGGUCUCUACAGGAGGUUUACCAUUUUUUACAGUUCCCGCUGUUUCCCUCCCUGUUUUCCUCAGAAGAAGAGUUCCAAACAAAAGAUCUACUACCCUGAGAAGCGGUGAAGUGCUCCUGGGGCCCACCAAGGCCACACAAGUCAAGGAGUGGAUGGCCUUGCCCCAGCUAUGGCUCAGAUCACCUUUGCAGGAUGACAUCUUGUUGGGAGAUGGUCAUCAGAGACAGGGCCAUGGAAGACGCUGUCAGGAGGAGGCACAGAGGAAAGGCUAUGGGAGCACAAAGCAAGAAAGUGGCCUUCUGCAAGCCAGGAAGAGAGGCCUCCCCAGAAACCAACUCUACCAGCACAUUGAUCUUGGACUUUUGGCCUCUAGAACAUUGAGAAAAUAAAAGUCUGCUGUUAAACCACCCAACCUUUGGUAUCUUUCUAUGGCAGCCUGAGCUGACUAACACCCUUGGUAGGUGGGCAGCAUUCACCUUAUUGGGCUACAUGAUGAGAAGUUAAAGUAACUUUAGCAAUAGGCACCAUUUGAUUUCAUUGUAUAGAUAUUGUGUCUUUUGCACUGAUUUUGCCUUUUUUAGUUGUGUGUAUAUUGAUGCCUGGGCCUAGCAUUACAAGACUAGUCGAAAUGGGAAGAAAGAAAAGAAAGUGGGAAAGAUACCAAGUUCCAUAAUUGCAUCCUCUACCCACAUCCAGUUCUUAGAAUCUUUUCCAAUGGAGACUGCACCUUGUGUACACUCAAAUUCAAUCUGAGCGCACAAUCAUUUAGACAACCAAGGCAACUUUUCCAAUUUUCAGCAUCACACGCUUGGGAAAACAAGUAUUUCAAUCACUAAUUUAAAUAUUCAUUGAGGUAAUUAUUCUGAGGUUGAUGAAAAAUAUGGUGUAUCCAUGUACUGUUGCCUUCUCCUGGGUCAAGAAUGUUGUCUUUACUCUGCUGGCUCACAUUUGACCAGAAAUUGGAGUCCCAGCAAAUCUUACUAGCCACUCAGGAAGCCUAUUUUAAGAUAGUCCCAAUCUCAAACUUGUUCUAAGACUUGUAUGCUGACUGAGGAGAAAGAGCCUCAUGACAAAAAUUCAACUAGAGCUGUGGGUGACAGUUGUGUGUCUCACUACUGGUCUGGGCCCAGGUUUCCCGUGAGCACCUAAUGAAUAGACUCAAUUGCAGGGAUCGUCAAGAUGCUCACUAUGUCUACCUCAUAGCCUCAAAAGAAGUGAUAACUAACAGAAUUUGUGUAGUAUCCUGAAGGGAAAUUAAUCCAGAUAUAGAGGAAAAGAUAAGGAUUUUUUAAAACAGACAUGUGAUUCAACAGUUGUUUAAGAUGCAGAAAGCUGUAAGAGACAGUUGUUCCCACUCUAAUGACAAGAAAAAGCUGUAUGGUCUGCAAAAUCAUACGUGCUUUGAUCCCACCAGAGAGCUGAAGUUGCAAGGCCCCUGAGUCAGCUGAAGUCCAAAGCGUGAGAAAACCCCCUAUAGAAGGACAAACACAUGAAGCAGUUCAUCUUUGACAGAUAAUGGAAGGAAAAGAUGGCAGCCAUAAAUGUUCAUUGGAGAAAAUCACUGAAGAUUUCAUCAUUUCUUAAAGGCCAAGUGUGAACUAUUGUGACAGAUUAGAAACUCUGAGAGUCCCAGAUACAUAGCAUGGUUUUGCCCAUUUGCUGGGUCCUUCCUCCCACGUCCUUAGUGCUGACAAGACACAUGUAACAGGGAAAGAGGAUUUCUCAAGCUUGCCACAGUGGCGUAGGCAUAAAAGUCAUGAUCACAUGAUCGACCACCACCAGAGUACAGGCACAAAACCUGGUUGCUUCUCACAUAAAACAAAAGGCAUCUACCACUGAUGUUGGAGCUAGGAACUCGUCCAACCCUUGGCCCCAGGGAUAGGGCAACUGCUGAGGUAGGGUUAGACAGAAAAACUGUCUGUAUUGGACAAGGGGAGGAGACUUGCUCUUGCCCAAGACUUCCCAUCAUUGAAAGGUAGUGUUCCGCUACCCCAAGGGGAUGUCACAGGAACACUAGGACCCAGGUAUCCAUGGCCUGAGGCUUGAUACACAUUCAGUGCAAUCAGUAAUGUGAGUUGGUUUCGACCAAUCAUUUGAGUUGGUUGCAGACCCUUUCCUCUAAUGAGGAAAAACUGUGGUGUGGGUACAAAGUUUCCACGUUCAGAAAGAUUGGCCUUGUCCUUACAGAUAUUAUAUUGAUUGGAUUUCUCUCAACCUCCUUAAGUUAUGUUUACCAUUAUUAAAAUUAAGUGACAUUCACUUGGAAGAAGUGGUAAUACAAACAGGUUGUGAGAAUUUAUAGUGAUUUUUGAUCCCAAGCCUUGUAUCACUGUUGGGUCUUCAUGUGUGUACUUGAAAACAAAACAUGUACAAUUGUUGCACUGGUUUGAAGAUUUUAAUGGUGGAAGUGACCUAAUCAGUAAUCAGUACUGUAUCUAGAAACGAAUCUUGGAAAUAUGUGAUUAUGCUCUUUUAAAAUCGCUGAAAAGAAGGCUGGGUGUGGUGGCUCAUUCCUAUAAUUCCACACUUUGAGAGGCUGA
rnacentral:lncRNA from 1 species